UGCGAAACUCGAAUGAACGAACGGGGAGAUUCAUCGUUAUUCCGCGGCGUGGUGGCGCGCUCUCGAUGCGGUACGAUUUCGGUCGUUGCCGUACGGGGCGUGUCGUCCUACGUCCGCGGACGGCGUGCACUUCUCCCUUAGUAAUACAUCGCGACCCGUUCGAUGUCGAUCUAAGCGCCGUUCGGGAGUCGGCAUUGCGAUCCUCGCGGUGAGCAGUGUCGACCGUGACGGUGGCCGAUCGGCUGUCGGACGGUAUAUUGCAGGAUCGCGUACGCGCUUCGGCGCGUCCGGCCCGACGCAAGGUGUCCGUCGUCUAUUCUCCGUCCUGCCUAAGCGCGGGCGGAGGUGCGGCGCGCCUGUCGUCGCAGCCGUGUAGUCUCGGACUGUACGCGUUCCGUGUCUGCGAUGAUUCAGUUUCGG
rnacentral:rRNA from 1 species